rnacentral:rRNA from 1 species
UACGGGGGAGCAAGCGUUGUUCGGAUUUACUGGGCGUAAAGGGCGCGUAGGCGGUCAGCACAAGUCAGUUGUGAAAUCUCCGAGCUUAACUCGGAAAGGUCAACUGAUACUGUGCGACUAGAGUGCGGAAGGGGCAACUGGAAUUCUUGGUGUAGCGGUGAAAUGCGUAGAUAUCAAGAGGAACACCUGCGGCGAAGGCGGGUUGCUGGGCCGACACUGACGCUGAGGCGCGAAAGCUAGGGGAGCGAACGGG